rnacentral:rRNA from 1 species
AACGAACGCUGGCGGCAGGCUUAACACAUGCAAGUCGAGCGCCCCGCAAGGGGAGCGGCAGACGGGUGAGUAACGCGUGGGAACAUACCCUUUGGUUCGGAAUAACUCAGGGAAACUUGAGCUAAUACCGGAUACGUCCGUAAGGAGAAAGAUUUAUCGCCAAAGGAUUGGCCCGCGUCCGAUUAGCUAGUUGGUGAGGUAACGGCUCACCAAGGCUACGAUCGGUAGCUGGUCUGAGAGGAUGAUCAGCCACAUUGGGACUGAGACACGGCCCAAACUCCUACGGGAGGCAGCAGUGGGGAAUAUUGGACAAUGGGCGCAAGCCUGAUCCAGCCAUGCCGCGUGAGUGAUGAAGGCCUUAGGGUUGUAAAGCUCUUUUGUCCGGGUAAGAUAAUGACUGUACCGGAAGAAUAAGCCCCCGGGCUAACUUCGUGCCAGCAGCCGCGGUAAU